rnacentral:rRNA from 1 species
UACGUAGGGGGCAAGCGUUGUCCGGAUUUAUUGGGCGUAAAGAGCGUGUAGGCGGCUAUUUAAGUCCUGCGUGAAAUCCUGCGGCUCAACCGCAGACGGUCGUGGGAAACUGGAUGGCUAGAGUGCGGGAGAGGAGAGUGGAAUUCCCGGUGUAGCGGUGAAAUGCGCAGAUAUCGGGAAGAACACCCGUGGCGAAGGCGGCUCUCUGGAACGCAACUGACGCUGAGACGCGAAAGCGUGGGGAGCGAACAGG